rnacentral:rRNA from 1 species
GACGAACGCUGGCGGCGUGCCUAACACAUGCAAGUCGAACGGAGUUAAGACUUCGGUUUUAACUUAGUGGCGAACGGGUGAGUAACGCGUGAGAAACCUGCCUUUCAGUGGGGGACAACAGUUGGAAACGACUGCUAAUACCGCAUAAUGUAUUUUGACCGCAUGAUCGAAAUACCAAAGCUUUAUGUGCUGAAAGAUGGUCUCGCGUCUGAUUAGCUAGUUGGUGAGGUAACGGCUCACCAAGGCGACGAUCAGUAGCCGGUCUGAGAGGAUGAACGGCCACAUUGGGACUGAGAUACGGCCCAG